UUUGCCACACUCCUUCAGAGAUGCGCAGUGCUGCCCCUUUCUAUGGGCAGGGCCGAAGGUCCGCGUGUAAAAGUACCCAGUCCCUGGUAACCUGACACUUCCCUUUUAAAAGCCACCUUUUGUCUAUCUCUGGCCUGCCACGAUUCUUCCUGUGCUCCAUAGGAGGACCCAUUGGACCCCCGGGCUGGCUGCAGGGCCCACACCUGGGUUAGACCUCGCACAGGGACGCUGCUGCCACUGUAAUAAAGCGUGCCUACACGCUUCUGAAACUGGUGUAGGAACAACCUCAGUUCUGUGAAAGGCGGACGCAGCAGGACAGAAUCUCCGUGGACAUCUGUCUGGAGGAGCAAUUUUACUGCGACAUUUUAAAGAAACAAAUUUAAUUGAUUUCCAAGGGUGUCCAUCGCGCUUCCUUCACUGCCUUGAUCAUGUCGGGGUCACCACCUGCGGGGGUUUGUCCUGCAGACCCUGACUCAACGACGGAUGAAUAAUGUACACUGACACAGAUCUUAUGCUUGUCAGUCCUGCUGAGCAUCCAGGCCACUUACAGACUCCAAGAAGAGUCCUGUCAGCCACGGCUCUGACUUGUUGGCCCUCCCGGCAUUUAUUUAGCACACAUUUAAUGACAGAAGUCUCAGGCUGGAAACACUCUUUUUGUAGAACAUACAAAUGGACAUUUCUAAGCACAUUGAGGCCUAUAAUGAAAAAUCAAAUAUCCCACAAUGAAAACUAGAAGGAAGCUAUCUGUGAUAAUGCUUUGUGGUGUAUGGAUUCAUCUCACUGACUGAAACCUGAGUUUUGAUUCACCAGGUUGGAAACACUUUUACUGUAUUAUCUAUGAAGAAACGUUUUUGAGGCCAUUAAGUCCUACACUGAAAAACUG
rnacentral:lncRNA from 10 species